UGUGUUUCAAGACUAACCUGAAGUGAUUGCUUCUCGAGCGUUCUUCUGAGCUCAAACACGGCCUCAAUCCCGCUUGUGUCGAUGGCUGACACGGCUGAAAUGGUUUCAACAAUUGGGAACUUUGAACUCAGACAUACUUGGAGAAGAGAAGAAGAGGUAAGUGCAAUUGGCAAAGUAUAUAGGAGAUUCUAUAGCCAAUAUCAAGAAGCCUGGAAUUCUUGAGGCUUCUCUGUAUCUUCCAA